CGGGAAUUUUGGGCAAUGGGCGAAAGCCUGACCCAGCAAGGCCGCGUGAAGGAUGAAAUCCCUCGGGAUGUAAACUUCGCAAGAAUGGGAAGAAUUAGCGAGCGCUAAUACCGCUCGUGAUGACGGUGCCAUUUGUAAGCUCCGGCUAACUCCGUGCCAGCAGCCGGGUAAUACGGGGGGAGCAAGCGUUGUUCGGAUUUACUGGGCGUAAAGGGCGCGUAGGCGGUCAGCACAAGGUCAG
rnacentral:rRNA from 1 species